CCUGCUGACAGGACGACGCUGGCGGCGUGCCUAAUACAUGCAAGUUGAACGAUGAUUUCUGGUACUUGUAUCAGGAUGAAGAGUAGCGAACGGGUGAGUAACGCGUGGGUAACCUACCUCUUAAGCGGGGACAACUAUUGGAAACGAUAGCUAAUACCGCAUAACAAUAUUAAACACAUGUUUAAUAUUUGAAAGUACCAAUUGGUACACUAGGAGAUGGACCCGCGUUGUAUUAGCUAGUUGGUAGUGUAAUGGACUACCAAGGCGAUGAUACAUAGCCGACCUGAGAGGGUGAUCGGCCACAUUGGGACUGAGACACGGCCCCAAACUCCUACGGGAGGCAGCAGUAGGGAAUCUUCGGCAAUGGACGAAAGUCUGACCGAGCAACGCCGCGUGAGUGAAGAAGGUUUUCGGAUCGUAAAACUCUGUUGUUAGAGAAGAACGUUGUGUAGAGUGGAAAAUUACACAAGUGACGGUAUCUAACCAGAAAGGGACGGCUAACUACGUGCCAGCAGCCGCGGUAA
rnacentral:rRNA from 1 species